rnacentral:tRNA from 1 species
GGGCACGGUUGGGCCGGUGGCGGGGCCGGCCUCCUCGGGGCGGGGGCGAGCCGCCGGGUCGGGUCCGGGCGCCGGGUCGGGCCCG